rnacentral:rRNA from 1 species
CGAUCGGGUGAGUAACACGUAGGUGACCUACCUCGAAGCGGGGGAUAACGGUCCGAAAGGACUGCUAAUACCCCAUGUGGUGAGCGAUUCAUUUCGCUUCUGAAAGGUUCCGAAAGGUUCCGCUUCGGGAGGGGCCUGCGGCCCAUCAGGUAGUUGGUGGGGUAAUGGCCUACCAAGCCAAUGACGGGUAGCUAGUCUGAGAGGACGAUUAGCCACACUGGCACUGACACACGGGCCAG